rnacentral:rRNA from 1 species
UACGUAGGGAGCAAGCGUUGUCCGGAUUCACUGGGUGUAAAGGGUGCGCAGGCGGAUCGGUAAGUCAGAGGUGAAAUCUCACAGCUCAACUGUGAAACUGCCUUUGAUACUGCUGAUCUUGAGUUAGGGAGAGGUUGAUGGAAUUCCUGGUGUAGCGGUGAAAUGCGUAGAGAUCGGAAAGAACAUCGGUGGCGAAGGCGGCCGCCUGGGUCCAGACUGACACUGAGGUGCGAAAGCGUGGGGAGCAAACAGG